rnacentral:rRNA from 1 species
GCUCGGAAGGUGCCGCCGCGCCUGCGGUCCGGGUCGGGGAUCUUGAACUGGACUCUCCCGGCGCAGGACGCGGUCCGACCGUGUGCACUUUCCGCGGGCAGAGCGCCACGACCGGUUCUCGGGCGGUCAGAAGGCGGCUGGGGAUGGUAGGUGUGCGCCUCGGCGCGCACUGGUAUAGCCCCGCCUGUCCCGAUCCGCUCUGGGGACCGAGGAGCCGCCGCCGGCGUGGGCCGCCUCGCCCUCCUGGGAUGUCCCGACUGGCAGAGACUGGGCAACCGUGUCUGCCGACCGCUUCCCUGGACGGUUUUUGGGGUGGGCCCGCCGGCACAGGGUCGGUGGCGAAUCGGUCGGCCCUCCACCCGACCCGUCUUGAAACACGGACCAAGGAGUCUAACAUGCGCGCGAGUCGUUGGGUCGUACGAAACCCGAAGGCGAAGUGAAAGCGAGGGCCGGUCUCUGACCGUGCUCAGGUGGGAUCCCGCCGGGUCCUCGGACCCGCCAAAGGAUGUGUGGGCGCACCACCGGCCCGUCUCGUCCGCGCCGUCGGUGAGGCGGAGCAUGAGCGUGCACGUUGGGACCCGAAAGAUGGUGAACUAUGCCUGAGUAGGACGAAGCCAGAGGAAACUCUGGUGGAGGUCCGCAGCGAUUCUGACGUGCAAAUCGAUCGUCA